AAGUGCUGAAAGCAUCUAAGCACGAAACUUGCCCCGAGAUGAGUUCUCCCUGACUCCUUGAGAGUCCUGAAGGAACGUUGAAGACGACGACGUUGAUAGGCCGAGUGUGUAAGCGCAGCGAUGCGUUGAGCUAACCGGUACUAAUGAACCGUGAGGCUUAACCUUACAACGCCGAAG
rnacentral:rRNA from 1 species